UUCUUUUUAUUACCAAAUAAUAUUCCAUUGUAUGGAAAUACUACAUUUUAUCUAUCCAUUCGUCUGUUGAUGGACAUCUGGGUGGUUUCUACGUUUUGGCUCUUAUGAAUAGUGCUGCUGUAAACAUCUGUGUAAAAUUUUGGUUUGAACAUCUGUUUUCAAUUCUCUUCGGUAUAUACCUGAGACUGGACUUUCUGGAUCAUAUGGUAACUCUGUGCUUAACCAUUUGAGGAACUGCCAGAUUGUUUCCCAAAGCAACUGCACCUUUUACGUUCCUGUCAGCAUUAUGAGGAUUCUAAUUUCUCCAUAUCCUCACUAACACUUGUCAUUCUGAUGAUAACCAUCCAGGGCUCUGCGGAGGUGUGUAAUGCAUUCUGCAAACAAUGAAGUAUACUCAACUAAAUGCUGAAUUGGAUCUAUCAGCUUUAAUCUGCUUUUGUCCUGGAGAUCUAUAAACUAAUGUGUUGUAGGAAGAAAAGUUUUGCUGCCAAAAGAAGUUGGGAAUUUACUCAUUUGUUCCAUUUUUUCUGUCUUCAAAGAAUCAUUCAUUUAAACCACC